rnacentral:rRNA from 1 species
UACGUAGGGGGCAAGCGUUAUCCGGAUUUACUGGGUGUAAAGGGAGCGUAGGUGGCAUGGCAAGCCAGAAGUGAAAACCCGGGGCUUAACCCCGCGGAUUGCUUUUGGAACUGUCAGGCUGGAGUGCAGGAGGGGCAGGCGGAAUUCCUGGUGUAGCGGUGAAAUGCGUAGAUAUCAGGAGGAACACCGGUGGCGAAGGCGGCCACCUGGACGACAACUGACGCUGAGGUGCGAAAGCGUGGGUAGCAAACAGG